CAAAAAAUAGUUUAUUUAAGAAUAUUAAUUUUGGAGAUUAAUGGUAUAUGUAAAUUUUAUAUAUUUUUUUGA
rnacentral:tRNA from 1 species